rnacentral:lncRNA from 10 species
GUUUGUUACGGCUUGAGCUGAGCUUUCGCUCGCUGUCCACCACUGCUGUUUUGCCACCAUGGCAGACCCACCACUGACCUCCAUCCCUCCGCAUCCAGCAGGGUGUCCGCUGUGCUCCUGAUCCAGUGAGGCGCCCGUUGCCACUCCCGAUUGGGCUAAGGGCUUGCCAAUGUUCCUGCAUGGCUAAGUGCCUGGGUUCGUCCUAAUCGAGCUGAACACUAGUCACUGGGUUCCAUGGUUCUCUUCCAUGACCCACAACUUCUAAUAGAGCUAUAACAAGCACUGCAUGGCCCAAGAUUCCAUUCCUUGGAAUCCGUGAGGCCAAGAACCCCAGGUCAGAGAACACGAGGCUUGCCACCAUCUUGGAAGUGGCCCACCGCCAUUUUGGAAGUGGCCAACCACCAUCUUGGGAGCUCUGGGAGCAAGGACCCCUGGUAACAUUUUGGCGACCACGAAGGGACAUCCCAAGUGAUCCAUGCAAGGCUGGACUUAAAUGCUUCUGGGCAGAAAUCCGGAACAAUAAGGAGGCUCAUAUUGUCAACUUUUCUACUCUCAUCGUUCCUGUUACACAAUGUCUGAAAGAAAACAUUUCAAACAUUACAUCAAGUUCUUCAUUUGUUUCUUCUAUAAGCUGAGACCAUCCUUGAAAUAGACUCACUUUGGUGUAAUCAAAGUCCACCUAUAUAUAUGAUUUUCAGCAGCCCCCUCAAGCAAUGGCGUGGCUCUCAUGAUGACCUUAGUGUUCUCAUAAUUAGAGAUACUGAAGACCUUACCUUCUCUGCCAUGUGAGGAUACAGGAUGAAGGUGUCACCUGCAAGCCAGGAAGAAAGUCCUCAUGAAGACCUGACCAUAUGGCAUCCUGAUGUUGGGCUUCUGGCCUCCAAAAUCAUGAUAAAUAAAUUUCUG